CACGUAGGGUGCGAGCGUUGUCCGGAAUUAUUGGGCGUAAAGAGCUCGUAGGCGGUGUGUCACGUCGGCCGUGAAAACCUGCAGCUUAACUGUGGGCGUGCGGUCGAUACGGGCAUCACUGGAGUUCGGCAGGGGAGACUGGAAUUCCUGGUGUAGCGGUGAAAUGCGCAGAUAUCGGGAGGAACACCGGUGGCGAAGGCGGUUCUCUGGGCCUUACCUGACGCUGAGGAGCGAAAGCGUGGGGAGCGAACAGG
rnacentral:rRNA from 1 species